AUCUGUUUGGAGUUGUGGUUAGUGCGCUCGGCUGUGGAUCAGGGCGACGAGGGUUCGAUUCCCCCUACCAGAUG
rnacentral:tRNA from 1 species